CAGUCGCGCGGUAAUACGAAGGGGGCUAGCGUUGUUCGGAUUUACUGGGCGUAAAGCGCACGUAGGCGGAUUCUUAAGUCAGAGGUGAAAUCCCAAGGCUCAACCUUGGAACUGCCUUUGAUACUGGGGAUCUUGAGUUCGGGAGAGGUGAGUGGAACUGCGAGUGUAGAGGUGAAAUUCGUAGAUAUUGGGAAGAACACCGGUGGCGAAGGCGGUGACCUGGUCCUUGACUGACGCUGAGGCGCGAAAGCGUGGGGAGCGAACAGGAUUAGAUACCCCGGUAGUCCCUGUCUCUUAUACA
rnacentral:rRNA from 1 species